AUUGAACGCUGGCGGCAUGCUUUACACAUGCAAGUCGAACGGUAACAGGUUAAGCUGACGAGUGGCGAACGGGUGAGUAAUGCAUCGGAACGUGCCCGAUCGUGGGGGAUAACGCAGCGAAAGCUGCGCUAAUACCGCAUACGAUCUGAGGAUGAAAGCGGGGGACCGUAAGGCCUCGCGCGAUCGGAGCGGCCGAUGUCAGAUUAGGUAGUUGGGGGGGUAAAGGCCGACCAAGCCAACGAUCUGUAGCUGGUCUGAGAGGACGACCAGCCACACUGGGACUGAGACACGGCACAGACUCCUACGGGAGGCAGCAGUGGGGAAUUUUGGACAAUGGGCGAAAGCCUGAUCCAGCAAUGCCGCGUGCAGGAAGAAGGCCUUCGGGUUGUAAACUGCUUUUGUACGGAGCGAAAAGGUCUCCUCUAAUACAGGGGGCUCAUGACGGUACCGUAAGAAUAAGCACCGGCUAACUACGUGCCAGCAGCCGCGGUAA
rnacentral:rRNA from 1 species